UGCCGGUCCAGCUGCUCCCGCGGGCCCACAGCGCGCUGUGGAAAGGAGCGGACAGGCCAGAGGCUCCCUCGGGCCUACAAGUCUAGGCUAGGCAGUGUUUCCGAGUCCCAGACGGAGCGACGGGGCCGGCCGCAGCCUCAGCCACGCGUCCCUCGGCGGCGGGCAGGCUCCUCUUGGCCUGCAGCCUUACUUUCAUGCCAUUCUUCACAGUCUCCUGGGAGAUUAAGAUGAGUGACCUAGAGGAGAAGGAUGUUGAUGAAUUCAGCUCCAGUGGUUUUAAGUGCCCAACAUGCUUUGCAGUGCAAGGAAGGAAAUGCAAUACAGAACUCAAAUGGUGUGCAGCAGAUAAAAUAAAGUGUAUUGAAUUCUCUGGCAUCAUAAACACAGUUUCUUGCAGGUAUUCGUGACGUAGCCAUUGAAAUGAGGAGAUGCAUACAAGCAGACCUAUGCAAAGAGAUAACUUCUUAGAUCGGUUUUCCAAUUGCUAACAAGAGUAGAAAUUGCAAAUCAGCCAUCAGAAAUGGGGCCAGAAUCAGACCCCCAUCUCCCAUCUUCUUUGUUCUUUUCCUGGGGAGGGUACUUCAUGGAGCUCUGGCAAGAGCCUAGCCACUUCCAUUUAUGAAUUAAACCUGCAUUUUUUUGUUAAUGUAUUCUUUCAUGAGUGUUAAUUUCUCCAUAGUUAUAUUCAGUUGUCCAUUUGUUUACUCAUUCAAUGAGUUUACUUGUUGUGUAUCCAGCCUUGCAUAAAGUGGGUUAGGGUCAAAGUGAAUCAGCUUUGGGUCCCUGCCUUUAAGGUCCCAAAGCAUUUAGAGAAUAAGGACGCGUGCAGUUAAAAUGCUUAGAAAGAAAUUUAAGAAGAACAUAAAAGAGCAGAAGCACUCUGCUUAAGGAGCCUGAGGGAUUGGUUUGGACAUAGGGUAAAAGUAGAAGACUGUGGGUUUGAUUAAGGAAAGAUUGGGAUUUUAGAUGGACUUUGAGGAGACCUUUACUAUAUGGCAGCAGAAAUAACGUGCACUGAGACAUGGACACGGGGAGAUGGGUGGAGGCUAAGAUGCAGUAGCUGAAAUUAACGGUAGGAGGAGUGGGGGAGAGGAAAAUGUCAGCAAGUAUAUGGGCCUGGCUGGAAGCAUCUUUCUGAGAGGGAUGGAAAGUGCUGCCCUGGAUGAACACAGUGGUCUCACUGAGCUGAGGACAGGCCAGCUCUGUGAUGGAAAACAGUUUCCUUCAAUCCACCAGAGAGAUGAUCAAAAGCCAAGGUCCCUGGUUCUCACUGCUGACUACUUUUUGUUUUGU
rnacentral:lncRNA from 1 species